GACGAACGCUGGCGGCGUGCUUAACACAUGCAAGUCGAACGGAAAGGCCCCUUUGGGGGUACUCGAGUGGCGAACGGGUGAGUAACACGUGAGUAACCUGCCCUUGACUUCGGGAUAACUUCAGGAAACUGGGGCUAAUACCGGAUAGGAAUCCUUGCUGCAUGGUGGGGGUUGGAAAGCUUCGGCGGUUUUGGAUGGACUCGCGGCUUAUCAGCUUGUUGGUGGGGUAGUGGCUUACCAAGGCUUUGACGGGUAGCCGGCCUGAGAGGGCGACCGGCCACAUUGGGACUGAGAUACGGCCCAGACUCCUACGGGAGGCAGAAGUGGGGAAUAUUGCACAAUGGGCGGAAGCCUGAUGCAGCAACGCCGCGUGCGGGAGGACGGCCUUCGGGUUGUAAACCGCUUUCAGCAGGGGCGAAGCUUGUGGUGACGGUACCUGCAGAAGAAGCACCGGCUAACUACGUG
rnacentral:rRNA from 1 species